rnacentral:rRNA from 1 species
AGUGAACGCUGGCGGUAGGCCUAACACAUGCAAGUCGAACGGCAGCACAGUAAGAGCUUGCUCUUACGGGUGGCGAGUGGCGGACGGGUGAGGAAUACAUCGGAAUCUACUUUUUCGUGGGGGAUAACGUAGGGAAACUUACGCUAAUACCGCAUACGACCUACGGGUGAAAGCAGGGGAUCUUCGGACCUUGCGCGAUUGAAUGAGCCGAUGUCGGAUUAGCUAGUUGGCGGGGUAAAGGCCCACCGAGGCGACGAUCCGUAGCUGGUCUGAGAGGAUGAUCAGCCACACUGGAACUGAGACACGUUCCAGACUCCUACGGGAGGCAGCAGUGGGGACUAUUGGACAAUGGGCGCAAGCCUGAUCCAGCCAUACCGCGUGGGUGCAGAAGGCCUUCGGGUUGUAAAGCCAUUUUGUUGGGAAAGAAAAGCAGCAGGUUAAUACCCCGCUGUUCUGACGGUACCCAAAGAAUAAGCACCGGCUAACUUCGUG